GCGCCUGUAGCUCAACGGUGAGAGCAGCCGUCUUAUAAGCGGCAGGUUCCUGGUUCGAAUCCAGGCAGGCGCA
rnacentral:tRNA from 1 species